GUCGGCUCAUCUGAAACUUGAUCUGCUCACUGAAUACUGCUUGAAAAUUCAACCUUUUAUCUUUUGUUACCUUCUGAAAUUGGGUCGACUCAACAGGCGUCCCAAACAUACCAUAGAUUCUUAAACAGCUUUUCUUUUCUAAUUUGAUUUCUAGACUAGGCUUGCCUUCUUAACUUGAUUUAAUCCUCAUUAAAUUUUUUUUCAAUGUGUAUCCAG
rnacentral:lncRNA from 1 species